GUAGCAGUGACGGGUAACGGGGAAUUAAGGUUUGAUUCCGGGGAGGGAACCUGAGAAACGGCUACAACAUAUAAAGAAGGCAGCCGGCGCGCCAAUUCCCCAAUCCUGGAUCAAGGGAGUAGUGACAAGAAAUAACAACACUUGAAAUUUUAUUUUUAGUGAUUGGGAUGAUUGGAAUCUUAACCCCUUUAAAAGUAACAAUUGGAGGGCAAGUCUGGUGCCAGCAGCCGCCGUAAUUCCAGCUCCAAUAGCGUAUAUUAAAGUUGUUGCAAUUAAAAAGCUAGUAGUUUGAUAUCUGCAAGCAGCCAUCCGUCCGCCCUAUUUGGGGUGUGCACUUGUUGAAUUGUGGCAUCUAUUAUUCCUAAUAUGAUGAUGGCUUUGAGUCCUCAUUACCGUUUGGAAUAAUACAGUUACUUUGAGAAAAUUAGAGUGUUUGAAGCAGGCUUAUUGCCUUGAAUACUGCAGCAUGGAAUAACAAUAUAGGAUUUCGGUUCUAUUUUGUUGGUUUCUAGGACUGAAAUAAUGGUUAAUAGGGACAGUUGGGGGCAUUCGUAUU
rnacentral:rRNA from 1 species